CGUAUAUUAAAGUUGUUGCAGUUAAAAAGCUCGUAGUUGGAUUUGUGGUUGAUCGCUGGAUCCUCUUUUGAGGCGUCCGUGUGGUUGACCAUCCUUGGGUGGAUGUUGCGUGGCAUUCGGUUGUCGCGCAGGGGAUGCCCAUCGUUUACUGUGAAAAAAUCAGCGCGUUCCAAGCAGGCUUAUGCCGUUGAAUGUAUUAGCAUGGAAUAAUGAGAUAGGACCUUGGUACUAUUUUGUUGGUUUGCGCACUGGGGUAAUGAUUAAUAGGGACAGUUGGGGG
rnacentral:rRNA from 1 species